UACAUGUGGGGCAAGCGUUGUUCGGAAUUACUGGGCAUAAAGGGUGCGUAGGUGGUUUGUUAAGUCAAGGGUGAAAGUUUUCGGCCCAACCGGAAAAUUGCCCGUGAUACUGGCGAACUUGAGUGCGUGAGGGGUAACCGGAACGAGCAGUGUAGCGGUGAAAUGCGUAGAUAUUGCUCGGAAGGCCAGAGGCGAAGGCGGGUUACUGGUGCGCAACUGACACUGAGGCACGAAAGCGUGGGGAGCAAACAGG
rnacentral:rRNA from 1 species